CGCGGCUCCGCACCAACUCGCCGCCCGAGCGGCUGCGCCGCGCACCCCGCGCCCCCNCGCCCGGGGCCUCCGCCUCAGGAGCGCCGAGACGCCACCCGAGAGCCGCAACGCACAGACCUGAGGAGGCCCCGCGCGCGCCGCACGGCCACUUCCGGCCUGGUCGCCGCCCCUCCCGCCGUGGGAGUCCGCACGCGGGCAAGAUGGCGGCCGCGGCGGCGCGGCCGGCGACCUGGGCGACCUGGGCGACCUGGGCCCCCCGGCCGGGAACCACGACCCCACCGCGGCGCUCCUCGGCCUUGGAAGGGGAGUUCCCCGGCUCGUGAGCCCCGCCCCCCCGCCGCACGGCCACUUCCGGCCUGGUCGCCGCCCCUCCCGCCGUGGGAGUCCGCACGCGGGCAAGAUGGCGGCCGCGGCGGCGCGGCCGGCGACCUGGGCGACCUGGGCGACCUGGGCCCCCCGGCCGGGAACCACGACCCCACCGCGGCGCUCCUCGGCCUUGGAAGGGGAGUUCCCCGGCUCGUGAGCCCCGCCCCCCGGCCGCCCGGGAGUAGCCACGCCUCGGGGGCGGGGCCACUGCUCAGGAGGCCCCGCCUUCCGCCCCAGCGCCCCGGCCCCUGCAGCCUGCGGGAGAGGUCUCCGGGGCACGGCCUCUCCGAGGAUUUAUCCAUGCUCAUACAACAUAUUUUUCUGAGUAAUAAAAUGUUAAAAAUAGAAUUGGCCAUGUCUAGUAACUGGUUAAACCCCCAGCAGACUGGAAUAGAACAAUAGGUGAUGAAUACUCCCAUGUUCCAAAGUGAGAUGCUACCACCUGCAGAACUGGAACAGAUUUUAUAGCCUGAAGACCCCAAACCUUCCUGAAGAGAGUUCGGAACUGAGAAGUCUGAGAGAGAGUUCUUUGGAGAAACUCAUUUUCAAAGAUUCUUACUACUAAUACCCUAGGAGAGAUCUAAGAGUGCUGUUGUCCAUGGAGCUUGAUCUGUGCAAGCUGGAACAGAGACGUGGGUAGAGAACGUGUCCGUCCACUGUCUAAGCCGUGCUGGACAACUCUAAAGGCUGGCUGGUUGUUCUGAAAGAUGAGGUGAGGAAACCUUCACUUCUGGAGUUUAUCAGGAUGAAUGGUGCCUGGGAGUGCCCUGCAGACAGGAUAGGGGCCACAAGGGUGAGAGAGCAGUGUAGCACAGUCAAAUAAGAAAAUUGCAGGAGUGAGAGGACCUCAGCUGAGAGACACUGGCAGUGUUCUACUGGUAACAGGCUGGGGUCAGAGAAGGUGGAGUUGGACACCCGCCAGAGAAGAGACCUGGCUGGCUUUAAAAGAACGUGAUGAGAGAUCCCCAGUGUAGCAGGCUCCAAAGAACAAGGGAGAGCUCCACAAUGGAGAAAGGGAUCACUUAAAUACCUUCUAAAGUCAGAGCAAGGCAGUUGACUUAAGUAGUUCCUUCCUGCUGGUCUACCUGGAAGAGUCAGAAACUGCUCUGCAUGAGAGUGUGAAAGGCAGAGAGGUACAAAGUGGUGAAAUGGUACAAAGUGGAAAUGGAGCACAGUUGACUAUGCUCCUUUUUCCACUGCAGGCUUCCAGCCCUGAAGCAAGCCCCAGCCGAGGAGAGGAGAAUCUUCAAGCGCAGAGUAUUGCCUACUACAUGGGAAUAGAUAUUUUAAUUGUGGGAAGCACAUAGUUUUUAUGAUGAAAUGUGAAAGAAGUGAUUUUUAUAAAAAAGACUGACCCAAAGACUUAUGCACCUUCCUGUGAUUUCAUCCAAGUGGCUAAAUAAAU
rnacentral:lncRNA from 1 species